rnacentral:lncRNA from 1 species
AGCAUGGUUGAUAAAACCAUUAAGAAAUGUUACAGGUAUUACAACAAUGGAAGCCUUAGAAAUUGAAAGACGAAAAACUUUCACGAAUGUUGUUAAUGGCAACAAACCAUCAUCACUCCCACCAUUGUGGAAAUGGUGUGCACGACAUGCAGCCUAAGUCCAAAUGUAUUCCACCCAAACCAGGCUGCCUAUACCCACAGAACGACUAUGAACAGUCCUUUGGCCCUUGCACCCUAAAAAUGCUUGGAUAUCUCCGACAUAGUUUAGUUAUCUACAGUCGUUAUGUUGCACUUUAAAUGUAUAUGUAUUAUAAGUCAUGAUUUUUACGUAAAUUUUGU